GACGAACGCUGGCGGCGUGCCUAAUACAUGCAAGUAGAACGCACAGUUUAUACCGUAGCUUGCUACACCAUAGACUGUGAGUUGCGAACGGGUGAGUAACGCGUAGGUAACCUGCCUGGUAGCGGGGGAUAACUAUUGGUAACGAUAGCUAAUACCGCAUAAUAUUAAUUAUUGCAUGAUAAUUAAUUGAAAGGUGCAAUUGCACCACUACCAGAUGGACCUGCGUUGUAUUAGCUAGUAGGUGAGGUAACGGCUCACCUAGGCGACGAUACAUAGCCGACCUGGGAGGGUGGACGGGCAACCUGGGAAUGGGACACGGGCCAGACUCCUACGGGAGGCAGCCGUAGGGAAUCUUCGGACAUGGACGAAAGUCUGACCGAGCAACGCCGCGUGAGUGGAGAAGGUUUUCGGAUCGUAAAGCUCUGUUGUAAGAGAAGAACGGGUGUGAGGGUGGAAAGUUCACACUGUGACGGUAUCUUAACAGAAAGGGACGGCUAACUACGUG
rnacentral:rRNA from 1 species